UCGACACUUUGGGAUCUCCAAGUCAAGCUGGGUUCAAUCCCUCUCAUGCACCCCCAGGAAUAAUAAUAAAAAUUGCACGCUCAGUGGCAGCUGGGCGACGCCAGUGCCUUCUGUACACAGGGUGACACCCCCAUGCAGUGGAGUGCUGGGGUGAAGAAACCUUCUGUAACCAGAAUGGAUCUCAGGGAAAAGUGGAGACGCCAUUUGUUGCUCCUGGAUUACAGCAUGGCUGAGCUACAGCAAAGAGGGUGGAAGAAAAGCAUCAUGGAAGAGUGCUCGAAACAGCUCAAAUUUUGUCUCCUGGAUCCAUGAAGUCAAGCUCUAGUCACAGGACAAAAAACUUCGUUAUUACGACUUUCAUCUUCAGUGUUAUUAGCAUCUUAAAUAUUAACAUCAUCAGGAGCUGGAAGUUUAUCUUUGUGCCACGUCUGCCUGCAGAGACAGAGCAUGGAGACAGAAACACCCCAGGUCUCUUACAGAGCCAGAGGCUGGAUUCACAACCUCUAGCAUUCAAAUACAGUGAGUCAGGCCCCAAAAUUCACAAA